rnacentral:tRNA from 1 species
AAGGAUUUAAGUUAAAAAAACUAAGAACCUUCAAAGUUCUCAAUAUAAAUAUUAUAAGCCUUA